CAGUGAAUGAUGUUAAAGAGCAGCUGUGGAAUGCAGCACUUGUUUCCUUGAUGGUGACAGAAAGGCCCUACAUACUAACCUUCUAAUGAGAUUUAUCAUGGAUCUGAAAAUUAGUAAAACCUGAUUUAUACCUAAAUGACUUGACUAUUCUAAGGAUCUAUUUUAGAGCCUUAGAUCUGGUGUCUUAGAACUAACUUUUAGUCUUUUCCAAUGUCCUGUCUAGUCAGUGACGAUAGGAAAUCUACUCUCAUGCACAGUUUGUGCUAAGAUGCUAGAAUAUCACUUGCUGGCUUCUGCUCCUUAAAAGUGGUGGCUGAAUAGAAACCUUGUGGUAUUAGCCACUCUGCUAUUAAGAAGGACUACAGCAAACUUUCUCCUGGAGAAUGCUGCUUUCUAAUGAUGAACCCGAGAUUUACAUCUAGAGAUCUGUUUCUAAAUGGACUUUGUAUUUUCUACUCACUUAGGAAAGCAAGCAUGCAACCUUCAUAACCUAUUGUCUAUGUUAAGUUCCUAUGACCUGGAAGUCAGAGAAGCACCUGGAGAGAAAGACCCAUGGGAUUCCAGAUCGAUUCUUUGGCAGCCGUGGUGUUUCAGAACAGAUGGGAUCUAGAUGUCCUGACAGCUAAAGAAGGUGGUCUUUGCCUGUUCCUCCAAGAAGAAUGCUGUUUCUAUGCCAACCAAUCCAGGAUAGUAAGAAAUAAAAUCCAGGAGCUACAGUCAGACAUAAAAUAUUUCAAGGACUGUGAGACCUUCAGUUCUGGGAUUUUCGAAAACUCUAUAUGGAAGUGGAUACUCCCUUUUGUAACUCCUUUCCUAGUCAUCUUCCUGGUGUUAUUAUUUGCUCCCUGCCUCAUUAAUCUUGUUUCUACAUUUCUUUAACAACAA